rnacentral:rRNA from 1 species
AGAGUUUGAUCCUGGCUCAGAAUGAACGCUGGCGGCGUGCAUAACACAUGCAAGUCGAACGAGAAACCCUGGGCUUGCUCGGGGGAGUAAAGUGGCGCACGGGUGAGUAACGCGUGGGUAACCUACCUCUGAAUCUGGAAUAACUUCGCGAAAGCGUUGCUAAUACCGGAUAUUAUCCCAUGAACUGCGGUUUGUGGGAUGAAAGGUGACCUCUUCUUGAAAGUUGCCGUUCAGGGACGGGCCCGCGUACCAUUAGCUAGUUGGUAGGGUAAUGGCCUACCAAGGCGAGGAUGGUUAGCUGGUCUGAGAGGAUGACCAGCCACACUGGCACUGAAACACGGGCCAGACUCCUACGGGAGGCAGCAGUGAGGAAUUUUGCGCAAUGGGGGCAACCCUGACGCAGCAACGCCGCGUGAGCGAAGAAGGCCUUCGGGUCGUAAAGCUCUGUCUAGUGGGAAAAAAGUCCUGGUGUAAAUAGCUCCAGGAUCUGAUGGUACCGCUGGAGGAAGCACCGGCUAACUCCGUGCCAGCAGCCGCGGUAAUACGGAGGGUGCAAGCGUUGUUCGGAAUUAUUGGGCGUAAAGGGCGUGUAGGCGGUUUGGUAAGUCAGAUGUGAAAGCCCUGGGCUUAACCCAGGAAGUGCAUUUGAAACUACCAUCCUCGAGUAUGGGAGAGGAGAGUGGAAUUCCCAGUGUAGAGGUGAAAUUCGUAGAUAUUGGGAGGAACACCCGUGGCGAAGGCGACUCUCUGGACCAAUACUGACGCUAGACGCGAAAGCGUGGGGAGCAAACAGGAUUAGAUACCCUGGUAGUC